rnacentral:rRNA from 1 species
GACGAACGCUGGCGGCGUGCUUAACACAUGCAAGUCGAACGGAAAGGCCCUGCUUUUGUGGGGUGCUCGAGUGGCGAACGGGUGAGUAACACGUGAGUAACCUGCCCUUGACUUUGGGAUAACUUCAGGAAACUGGGGCUAAUACCGGAUAGGAUCUCCUGCUGCAUGGUGGGGGUUGGAAAGUUUCGGCGGUUGGGGAUGGACUCGCGGCUUAUCAGCUUGUUGGUGGGGUAGUGGCUUACCAAGGCUUUGACGGGUAGCCGGCCUGAGAGGGUGACCGGCCACAUUGGGACUGAGAUACGGCCCAGACUCCUACGGGAGGCAGCAGUGGAGAAUAUUGCACAAUGGGCGGAAGCCUGAUGCAGCAACGCCGCGUGCGGGAUGACGGCCUUCGGGUUGUAAACCGCUUUCGCCUGUGACGAAGCGUGAGUGACGGUAAUGGGUAAAGAAGCACCGGCUAACUACGUG